rnacentral:rRNA from 1 species
ACUCCUGCGGGAGGCAGCAGUGGGGAAUAUUGCACAAUGGGCGCAAGCCUGAUGCAGCCAUGCCGCGUGUAUGAAGAAGGCCUUCGGGUUGUAAAGUACUUUCAGCGGGGAGGACGGCAAUACGGUUAAUAACCGUGUUGAUUGACGUUACCCGCAGAAGAAGCACCGGCUAACUCCGUGCCAGCAGCCGCGGUAAUACGGAGGGUGCAAGCGUUAAUCGGAAUUACUGGGCGUAAAGCGCACGCAGGCGGUCUGUCAAGUCGGAUGUGAAAUCCCCGGGCUCAACCUGGGAACUGCAUUCGAAACUGGCAGGCUUGAGUCUUGUAGAGGGGGGUAGAAUUCCAGGUGUAGCGGUGAAAUGCGUAGAGAUCUGGAGGAAUACCGGUGGCGAAGGCGGCCCCCUGGACAAAGACUGACGCUCAGGUGCGAAAGCGUGGGGAGCAAACAGGAUUAGAAACCCGUGUAGUCC